rnacentral:tRNA from 1 species
GAUUGGGGGAUUAGCUCAGCUGGGAGAGCACCUGCUUUGCAAGCAGGGGGUCGUCGGUUCGAUCCCGUCAUCC